rnacentral:rRNA from 1 species
GACGAACGCUGGCGGCGUGCCUAAUACAUGCAAGUAGAACGCUGAAGAGAGGAGCUUGCUCUUCUUGGAUGAGUUGCGAACGGGUGAGUAACGCGUAGGUAACCUGCCUUGUAGCGGGGGAUAACUAUUGGAAACGAUAGCUAAUACCGCAUAACAAUGGAUGACACAUGUCAUUUAUUUGAAAGGGGCAAUUGUUCCACUACAAGAUGGACCUGCGUUGUAUUAGCUAGUAGGUGAGGUAACGGCUCACCUAGGCGACGAUACAUAGCCGACCUGAGAGGGUGAUCGGCCACACUGGGACUGAGACACGGCCCAGACUCCUACGGGAGGCAGCAGUAGGGAAUCUUCGGCAAUGGGGGCAACCCUGACCGAGCAACGCCGCGUGAGUGAAGAAGGUUUUCGGAUCGUAAAGCUCUGUUGUAAGUCAAGAACGAGUGUGAGAGUGGAAAGUUCACACUGUGACGGUAGCUUACCAGAAAGGGACGGCUAACUACGUG